AUUCAAGCGAAUAAGGGCUUAAGUUGGAUAUCUUGGCAUUCAGAAGCGAUGAAGGGCGCGUCUACCGGCGAAACGCUUCGGGGAGCUGGAAGUAAGCAUUGAUCCGGAGGUACCCGAAUGAGGAAACUCUUAAUACUACUUGNUCAAUCUAUAGGCAAGUAAGAGCGAA
rnacentral:rRNA from 1 species